CGUAACCACGAUCCCCUCUCCCUCGCCGCCGCCACCACCCACGCCGGCCUAUUCCGGUGAGCUCCGACAACGGGAAGCACUCCCCCGAGCUCCCAAAGCUCCACGUCUUCUUCUCCUUCGUCCAGAAUCCGCGCUCCCGUCCUCCUUGUUCCCCGUGGCUAGGUAGGGUUUCGGCCGCCACCUCAUCUCCGGCGACGGCGAGUCCACUAGCCUGCGGAUCCGGCACCGGGCUAUCCCAGCAUGGCACGGAUGGGACGACGACGGCAGCAGGAGGGCGCGUUCCAUCUACAAGCACCGCCGCCACCGCGCGCACGCUUCAUCCUACACGCUCCACGGCCUGUUGCAAGUCCCGACCGAGAACGUUAGGGAACUGUCAGGGUUCGUCCUUCUUGGGGAACUGUCAGGGUAGCACUAAAGACACUUGUAGUGGUUCAUAGGCUUCUACGAGAGGGGGACCCUACAUUUCGGGAAGAGCUUCUUAAUUUUACACAAAGGGGGCAUAUUCUGCAGCUCUCAAACUUCAAGGAUGACUCCAGUCCAAUUGGGGCGAUUUUACCGUCCAGGGCACCCUGGGCACGCGCUCGGGCUCGAUGCCUCUGCGUUUCUAAACUUGGGCGAGCUUCUGAAGAUGUCAGAAUGGCUUGAAGCAUAAGAAACUACGAUUUCUGCUGAAAAAGAAUGAAGGGUUACCUUGGGACUGUUCCGCAUGGGUUCGCACAUAUGGUCAGUUUUUGGAGGAAAGAUUGGAAUGCUUCAGGAUCCUGAAAUAAGAUGUUGAGGCUGAGCGUUUAUCCAAACAAGGUCAAGAUCCUGAAAAGGGACACAGUAGAACCAGAGACCUAGAUUCCCAGGAUCUGUUAGAGCAAUUACCAGCUUUGCAGCAGUUACUGUAUCGGCUUGUUGGAUGUCGGCCAGAAGGAGCUGCGAAUAAUAACUACUUCGUGCAGUAUGCUCUAGCUUUGAUAAUCAAACAAAAAUUUGUUGUGUUCUCAACCUCGCCACCACUUCUAAGAUGCCGAUUUAACUGAUGGGGUGAAUGACUAAGGAUUUACUCUCUUUUGUACAAGUGUUAAAAGAGAGUUUCGAAAUUUAUUGUGCGAUCAAUGAUGGAAUUAUUAACCUUGUUGAUAAGAGGCAGAAGGCAAGUUUUGUUUGGGGUUGGUCCUUGCACAUAUCACUGUGAUAGGCUCCCCAUGCAUGUACUUGAGCCUUUUAGGUAAUGUUAUAGAAAAUAGCUAUGAGUCAGUCUUUUCUACAUGCAGAUUCUUAUCAACGAAGUGAAUCACAUAGAAUAUUUUAUACUCAUCAAGUAACAGUAACGAUAGCUAUUUUGUUGUAUGUAUAUUAAACAGUUUGUCUACCAGCCAUUAUUUUCUUAUGUGUACUAUAAGCAAAGUCGAUCCUCAUCUCCCUCAUGUUUACUGCUACAAAAUUGGUGCGCCUAAGUUUUGGCCCUCAAUCCCAUUUUCUUCUUGCAGGCGACAAUGGCAAGAGCAUAUUGUGCAGAGGAAGAGGAUGAGAAGAAACUUGUGGUUCUCAUCCAAUCUUUGUGGAACUUUCUUUAUGUGCGAUUACGCACUUGUUGGGUCCUUUUUUCGUGCACUUGUACUUGCAGAAAUAUUCUGUUGUGCGCAUGUAAAACUAUUUUGAUGUGCCCUUGUGCCCUUGUUAGGCGUUGAACCUUAAUGCAUGGAGUCGUGGAUGAUGUUUUGUAUUUAUGUGAUAUGCUACUAAAUGAAAUAUACAUUUUAUUUGCAA